CCCUGUGGCUCAGAUGGUAAAGAAUCUGCCUGCAAUGCAGGGGACCCAGGUUCAAUCCCUGGAUCAGGAA
rnacentral:tRNA from 1 species